CCAGCAGCUGCGGUAAUUCCAGCUCCAAUAGCUUAUAUUUAAGUUGCUGCAGUUAAAAAGCUCGUAGUUGGAUUUCGGGCGGGGCCUGUCGGUCCGCCGUUUCGGUGUGCACUGACAGGGCCCGCCUUGUUGUCGGGGACGGGCUCCUGGGCUUCACUGUCCGGGACUCGGAGUCGGCGCUGAAACUGUGAACAAAUUAGAGUGUUCAAAGCAGGCAUAAGCUCUGAAUAUAUUAGCAUGGAAUUUCAUGAUAGGACUCUGGCCUAUCCUGUUGGUCUGUAGGACCGGAGUAAUGAUUAAGAGGGACAGUCGGGGGCAUUCGUAUUUCAUUGUCAGAGGUGAAAUUCUUGGAUUUAUGAAAGACGAACUACUGCGAAAGCAUUUGCCAAGGAUGUUUUCAUUAAUCAAGAACGAAAGU
rnacentral:rRNA from 1 species